ensembl:lncRNA
AUGGACAAAGGUCUAGCUGAACCCAUGAACAUGUAUGACCACCGUUCAGCUUACUCCUGCUGUAUACAUUCUUGUCACUCCAUUACCACCUUCAGUCAUGAUAGGAUCGAUUCUGAUGGAAUUGCAGUUUUCAAGUGCUCUGAAGAACUUGGCACUUUCACACAGGUAAAUCCACCAUUUUUGUUCAGCAGUAAUUCAUAAGAGAACCUAAAAAAAUAAAAAGAAAAUCUUUUUUAUAUAAAAGAAUGAUAGGUAUAAUACAUGUUUAAAAUUGUCCUGCAACUGAACAAUAUCACUUAUACUCCAGUAGACAAUCCAUACAUGUUUUUUACAAAUCUAGCAAUUUUUCACCAUGUCAUUGUUUCCUUGUAAACUGUCACCCUCUUCUGUACCCUGUGUUUGGGGUUUUGUUUGUUUUUUAUCUUUAAGAACAGUUUUGAUUUAUACAUAUUUCAAUAUUCAUGGAAACUUUUAACUUUCGAUAAUGGGAUUUUAGAAAUUAUUUUCCUUUCUUUUUUCCAUUGUAGUAAAUCGUCUUUUUUUUUUUUUUUUUUUUGGUCAUCAUUGAUGAAUGGCUCCAAAUAGUUGCUGGUUGCUCUGAAAAUGAUAAAUAAAGAACUGUUGCUAAAUCUUGAUUUCUCAGCAUUCUUCCCUUAGGCAGAUGUUGGCUCUCCUGCUCUUCAUAUCAUAUACUGAUUUAAAGAAGAAAUGCUUCUGAUAAUUUUAAAUAGCUGUGUAUGUUUUCUGACUUUCCCACCACUUUCUCUUAUUAAUUCUUAAGUAUUAAAUAUUUACUCAUGCUAUAAAUAGUUUUAGUGUGCCUACUAUAUUCCUCUCACCAAGGCACUAAUUUCUGGUCAUACAAAGUUGAUGAAAAUAGAGCUGUUGCCCUUAAGAAACUCAUAGUCUAGCAAAAAAGGAAGAAGAGCAAAGAACCAUUGCUAAACCCACAAAAUACCAUGGUAAAGGAAUGCACUGGAGAUUCAACAGAGUCUGCAAAUUUUCCUUGUGGACAAAAGAGAGCAGACAGGGAUCAUCUUCUCCAAAAAAGGCCAAGUAAAGACCUUUACUGUCAUACUAAGGACUUUGGAAUUUAUUCUGUAAACAAGGGUUAGAUAAUGACAAGAACAAACAUGCAUUUAGAAUUUUUUUCAUAACCAAAUGUUAAAGUCUAUGACCUUUAUCUUCAAUUUUGUGAAAAUUUUCAACAUAUUGUUUAUAAAAUUGUCUAUCUAUCCAUGCAUGCAUAUAUGUGUAUAAAGUGCUCUCCCUUCCCCAGACCUUUCCAUCUGAAUGAGUUUGCCUCCCUACAUAUCUUUUCUUAGUUUUUAGAAUAAAUCCUCAGAAAUAUUUUCUUAUGAAAGAAUUCUUUAUUUGUUAUUUAUGACCUUCUUUGAAACAGAUAUAUGGUCUAUUUUUAAACAAUAUUUAUAUCUGAAAAGGAUACAGGUUUAGAUAACACUACAAAUAAUAAUAAAAUAAUAAUUGAUAUCUUCUCAUUUUCUAGCACUCUACUAAUUAUAGAUAUUUUCUCAUUUUGUUCUGUAAUAAUCUUACAAGGUAGGUGCUAUGAUUAUCUCUAUUUUACAAAUGAGCACACAGAAACACAGAGAUUAAGUUGCUGGGCACGGGUCCCAUGGCUGGGAGAUGGAGCCUCAAGGAUUCUAUUGUAGAUACCAAGAUUUUAGAGUGUAUAAACUAGUUCAAAUAAGAGAACCCUCCCCCGAAUUAUGGUAUGAGUAGCUGCUUAAUAGAUGUUGUCUUAUAUUCUGAUCAUUUCUAAGCAGAUCAUAUUUAUUAUUUUGUUAUUAGUAUCAUUUUUUUAUUUAGCUGUGCAAUCCUGAAAAUUUCGAAACAUCUCAUUUUACUCUAAUAGCUGAUGCUAAAGUGUGCCCUCCUUUUAUUUAUUGCAAUAUAAUUUGAAUUUAUUAAAAUUCACAAAUCUUAGUGUAUAGCUUGAUGAAUUUUUACAUAUGUGUACACAUAUUAACUCCACCUAGAUCAAAAUAUACCUUUUCUCCCCAGUAGCUUCCCCCUAAUGCUUUCUAGUGAUUAACUAACCACGCACCCAGAGGUAACCACCAUCUUAAACUCCGUCACCGUAAAUUAGUUUUGUUCCCUUUCUGAAUUUCAUAUAAACACAAUCAUACAGUAGUACAUUCUUGAGUCCUGUCUCUUUCACUCAGUGUAGUGUUUUUGCGAUUUAUCCAUGUAGUUAUAUGGAGGAGUAAUUUUCUUUUUUUCUCUGCUGUAUAGUAUCCUGUUGUCUGAAAGCAUCACAACUUUUAAUCAGUUAUACUAUGGGUGGAUGUUUGAAUUGUUUUCACUUUGGGGCUAUCAUGAAUAAAUCUUUUUUGUGUUUCCCUUGUUUCCCUUGGCCAUGUAACACAAAGAGUAAAAUUGCUAGAACAUAGAAAAGGUGUAUGUUUAAUCUUAUUAGUUAUAUGCAAAGGGUUGUUCAGAGCAAUUUACUACUUUACUUACACUCCUACCAGUUACGUGUGAGAACUGUUGUUCUUUAUGUCUCUAGUACAUAUAAAUCUUUCUAUUUUUAGUUUUUCUGAUAUUUUAUUUUGGUUUUAACUUUGUUUUACUGAGCUAUCACUGGAUCAUG